rnacentral:rRNA from 1 species
AGGGCGCAUGGUGAAUGCCUUGGCUCUCAGAGGCGAUGAAGGACGUGAUAAGCUGCGAAAAGCUCCGGGGAGGUGCAAACAACCUUUGAUCCGGUGAUAUCCGAAUGGGGCAACCCGUCACGCUGAAGGCGUGACAUCUAAAAGAUGCCAACCCAGGGAACUGAAACAUCUAAGUACCUGGAGGAAAAGAAAACAACAGUGAUUCCCCAAGUAGUGGCGAGCGAACGGGGAGAAGCCCAAACCAUGAUUGUUAAGGCAAUCAUGGGGUUGUAGGACUGUAACAUGAAUGUGAAAGCGAAGCUGAAGCUUCUGGAAAGCUGCUCCAUAGAGGGUGAUAGGCCCGUAAGCGUAAGCAAUUGCAUUCUAGCAGUAUCCUGAGUACCGCGAGGUCGGAGACGCCUUGUGGGAAUCUACCGGCACCAUCCGGUAAGGCUAAAUACUCCUGAGAGACCGAUAGUGUACUAGUACUGUGAAGGAAAGGUGAAAAGAACCGCGAACAGCGGAGUGAAAUAGAACCUGAAACCGUGCGCUUACAAGCGGUAGGAGUCCUUCGGGAUGACUGCGUGCCUUUUGCAUAAUGAGCCUACGAGUUACUCCUCACUGGCAAGGUUAAGCCCCUAAGGGGCGCAGCCGAAGCGAAAGCAAGUCUGAAUAGGGCGUAUAGUCAGUGGGGGUAGACGCGAAACCUUGUGAUCUACACAUGGGCAGGAUGAAGGAUGGGUAACACCAUCUGGAGGUCCGAACUGGUGAGCGUUGAAAAGCUCUCGGAUGACCUGUGUGUAGGGGUGAAAGGCUAAUCAAACUGGGAAAUAGCUCGUACUCCCCGAAAUGUCUUUAGGGACAGCGUUGAGUGAAUUGUCAUAGAGGUAGAGCUACUAAUAGGGCUAGGGGGCUUCACCGCCUACCAAACCCUGAUAAACUCCGAAUGCUAAUGACAACUGCUCAGCAGUGAGGCCUGGGGUGCUAACGUCACAGGCCGAGAGGGAAAGAACCCAGACCAUCAGCUAAGGUCCCCAAAUCUAAGUUAAGUUGAUCUAACGUGGUCCGAUUGCAUUGACAGCUAGGAUGUUGGCUUGGAAGCAGCCAUUCAUUUAAAGAGUGCGUAACAGCUCACUAGUCGAGCGAUCGGGCGUGGAUGAUAAACGGGCAUUAAACUUAGUACCGAAGCUAUGGGAUCGAAAGAUCGGUAGGGGAGCAUUCUAGUUGCACCGAAGGUGUGCUGUAAGGCAUGCUGGAGCGGCUAGAAAAGCAAAUGUAGGCAUAAGUAACGAUAAGGCAGGUGAGAAACCUGCCCACCGAAAGACUAAGGUUUCCUGAUCAACGUUAAUCGGAUCAGGGUUAGUCGGAACCUAAGGCUCAUCCGAAUGGAAAUGCCGAUGGCAAACAGGUUAAUAUUCCUGUACUUGUGCAAUCAGUGAAGGGACGACGAAGGAGUGAAAGGUCUGCGUACUGACGGAAAUGUACGUUAAAGCCAGUAGAUUCAGGUGCUGUAGGUAAAUCCGCAGCGCUUAUCGAUGGUGACAGUACCGAGAGUCUUCGGACAAUCGGAUAAUGACCCUAAGCAUACUUCCAAGAAAACUCUCUAAACUUAUGAUUGUACAGUCCGUACCGUAAACCGACACAGGUAGUCGAGAAGAAGAUUCUAAGGUGCUCGAGUGAUUCAUGGCUAAGGAACUCGGCAAAUUAACCCUGUAACUUCGGGAAAAAGGGUGCCCUCUUCGGAGGGUCGCAGAGAAAUGGCUCAGGCGACUGUUUAACAAAAACACAUGGCUAUGCUAAAUCGAAAGAUGAUGUAUAUGGCCUGACACCUGCCCGGUGCUGGAAGGUUAAGAGGAGAUGUCAGUCGCAAGACAAAGCAUUGAAUCGAAGCCCCAGUAAACGGCGGCCGUAACUAUAACGGUCCUAAGGUAGCGAAAUUCCUUGUCGGGUAAGUUCCGACCUGCACGAAUGGUGUAACGAUCUGAGCGCUGUCUCAGUCAUGAGCUCGGUGAAAUUGUAGUAGCGGUGAAGAUGCCGCUUACCCGCAACGGGACGGAAAGACCCCGUGCACCUUCACUACAACUUUGCAUUGAUUCUGGAUAAAUGAUGUGUAGGAUAGGUGGGAGACUUUGAAGCGGUGGCGCCAGCCAUCGUGGAGUCAACCUUGAAAUACCACCCUUCAUUUAUUCGGGAUCUAAUCCCGCCUCGCGGGAGACAUUGCAUGGUGGGUAGUUUGACUGGGGUGGUCGCCUCCAAAAGAGUAACG